rnacentral:rRNA from 1 species
GACGAACGCUGGCGGCGUGCUUAACACAUGCAAGUCGAACGGAAAGGCCCUGCUUUUGUGGUGUGCUCGAGUGGCGAACGUGUGAGUAACACGUGAGUAACCUGCCCUUGACUUUGGGAUAACUUCAGGAAACUGGGGCUAAUACCGGAUAGGAGCUCCUGCUGCAUGGUGGGGGUUGGAAAGUUUCGGCGGUUGGGGAUGGACUCGCGGCUUAUCAGCUUGUUGGUGGGGUAGUGGCUUACCAAGGCUUUGACGGGUAGCCGGCCUGAGAGGGUGACCGGCCACAUUGGGACGGAGAGACGGCCCAGACGCCUACGGGAGGCAGGAGUGGGGAAUAUUGCAUAAUGGGCGGAAGCCUGAUGCAGCAACGCCGCGUGCGGGAUGACGGCCUUCGGGUUGUAAACCGCUUUCGCCUGUGACGAAGCGUGAGUGACGGUAAUGGGUAAAGAAGCACCGGCUAACUACGU